GGCUGAGUGGAGCAGCCAAAAAAAAAAAAAAAGGAAUGAUACAGAGAAGAUUAGCAUGGCUCCUAUGUAAGAAUGACAUGCAAAUUCGUGAAAGAAAUUGUGUAUUU